rnacentral:rRNA from 1 species
AGUGAACGCUGGCGGUAGGCCUAACACAUGCAGGUCGAACGGCAGCACAGUAAGAGCUUGCUCUUACGGGUGGCGAGUGGCGGACGGGUGAGGAAUACAUCGGAAUCUACUUUUUCGUGGGGGAUAACGUAGGGAAACUUACGCUAAUACCGCAUACGACCUACGGGUGAAAGCAGGGGAUCUUCGGACCUUGCGCGAUUGAAUGAGCCGAUGUCGGAUUAGCUAGUUGGCGGGGUAAAGGCCCACCAAGGCGACGAUCCGUAGCUGGUCUGAGAGGAUGAUCAGCCACACUGGAACUGAGACACGGUCCAGACUCCUACGGGUGGCAGCAGUGGGGAAUAUUGGACAAUGGGCGCAAGCCUGAUCCAGCCAUACCGCGUGGGUGAAGAAGGCCUUCGGGUUGUAAAGCCCUUUUGUUGGGAAAGAAAAGCAGCAGGUUAAUACCCCGCUGUUCUGACGGUACCCAAAGAAUAAGCACCGGCUAACUUCGUG